UGGGGAAUUUUGGACAAUGGGCGAAAGCCCGAUCCAGCAAUGCCGCGUGUGUGAAGAAGGCCUUCGGGUUGUAAAGCACUUUUGUCCGGAAAGAAAUCCUUGGCUCUAAUACAGUCGGGGGAUGACGGUACCGGAAGAAUAAGCACCGGCUAACUACGUGCCAGCAGCCGCGGUAAUACGUAGGGUGCAAGCGUUAAUCGGAAUUACUGGGCGUAAAGCGUGCGCAGGCGGUUUGCUAAGACCGAUGUGAAAUCCCCGGGCUCAACCUGGGAACUGCAUUGGUGACUGGCAGGCUAGAGUAUGGCAGAGGGGGGUAGAAUUCCACGUGUAGCAGUGAAAUGCGUAGAGAUGUGGAGGAAUACCGAUGGCGAAGGCAGCCCCCUGGGCCAAUACUGACGCUCAUGCACGAAAGCGUGGGGAGCAAAACAGGAUUAGAUACCCCUGGUAGUCCACGCCCUAAAACGAUGUCAACUAGUUGUUGGGGAUUCAUUUCCUUAGUAACGUAGCUAACGCGUGAAGUUGACCGCCUGGGGAGUACGGUCGCAAGAUU
rnacentral:rRNA from 1 species